UACGUAGGUGGCAAGCGUUGUCCGGAUUUACUGGGCGUAAAGAGCGCGCAGGCGGUCGUUCAAGUCGCGUGUGAAAGCCCCCGGCUCAACUGGGGAGGGUCACGCGAUACUGAUCGACUCGAAGGCAGGAGAGGGAAGUGGAAUUCCCGGUGUAGUGGUGAAAUGCGUAGAUAUCGGGAGGAACAUCAGUGGCGAAGGCGACUUCCUGGCCUGUUCUUGACGCUGAGGCGCGAAAGCUAGGGGAGCAAACGGG
rnacentral:rRNA from 1 species